ensembl:lncRNA
AAGAGCAACAGAGGAGAGAAGAGGCAGAGAGAUCAGAGCUGAAGAGCAACAGAGGAGAGAAGAGGCAGAGAGAUCAGAGCUGAAGAGCAACAGAGGAGAGAAGAGGCAGAGAGAUCAGAGCUGAAGAGCAACAGAGGAGAGAAGAGGCAGAGAGAUCAGAGCUGAAGAGCAACAGAGGAGAGAAGAGGCAGAGAGAUCAGAGCUGAAGAGCAACGGAGGAGAGAAGAGGCAGAGAGAUCAGAGCUGAAGAGCAACGGAGGAGAGAAGAGGCAGAGAGAUCAGAGCUGAAGAGCAACGGAGGAGAGAAGAGGCAGAAGAUCAGAGCUGAAGAGCAACAGAGGAGAGAAGAGGCAGAGAGAUCAGAGCUGAAGAGCAACGGAGGAGAGAAGAGGCAGAAAGAUCAGAGCUGAAGAGCAACGGAGGAGAGAAGAGGCAGAGAGAGGUGAAGUUUUGUACACCAGCUUCAAACAGCUGAAAAUACUAUACUGGUUAUGGAAAAGCUACUUCACAGCGGUUUAGGGUACAAGGAUUCUCUACACUAUACAUGCUGGUUUUGUCAAACUGAAAGUAGGUGAACUCUUCCAACUUUAUCAACCAGGAAAUGGCGGAGGGAUCUCUGCAUAGGACAUCUUUACUAUAUUAAUAUAUCUACUUUGGAGAGAUGAUACUAUUCGUUUCCAUUAUUCUUAUUCUGGUCAAUUCUAUUCUUUUUUUGGGGGG